rnacentral:rRNA from 1 species
CCUACGGGAGGCAGCAGUGAGGAAUAUUGGUCAAUGGGCGCGAGCCUGAACCAGCCAAGUCGCGUGAGGGAAGACGGUCCUAUGGAUUGUAAACCUCUUUUGUCGGGGAGCAAAAGACGCCACGCGUGGCGUUCCGAGAGUACCCGAAGAAAAAGCAUCGGGUAACUCCGUGCCAGCAGCCGCGGUAAUACGGAGGAUGCGAGCGUUAUCCGGAUUUAUUGGGUUAAAAGGGAGGGCAGGCGGAAGUUCAAGCCAUCGGGAAAAUUGGGGGGCUAAACCUCUUAGAGCCGUGGGAAUUGGGUUUCUAGAGUGUGGGAGAAGCAGGCGGAAUGCGUGGUGGAGCGGUGAAAUGCGUAGAUAUUACGCAGAACUCCGGUGGCGAAGGCAGCAUACCGGCG